rnacentral:rRNA from 1 species
CCUGGCUCAGAACGAACGCUGGCGGCAGGCUUAACACAUGCAAGUCGAGCGCCCCGCAAGGGGAGCGGCAGACGGGUGAGUAACGCGUGGGAAUCUACCCUUUUCUACGGAAUAACGCAGGGAAACUUGUGCUAAUACCGUAUGAGCCCUUCGGGGGAAAGAUUUAUCGGGAAAGGAUGAGCCCGCGUUGGAUUAGCUAGUUGGUGGGGUAAAGGCCUACCAAGGCGACGAUCCAUAGCUGGUCUGAGAGGAUGAUCAGCCACAUUGGGACUGAGACACGKCCCAAACUCCUACGGGAGGCAGCAGUGGGGAAUAUUGGACAAUGGGCGCAAGCCUGAUCCAGCCAUGCCGCGUGAGUGAUGAAGGCCCUAGGGUUGUAAAGCUCUUUCACCGGUGAAGAUAAU